rnacentral:rRNA from 1 species
AGCGGCGGACGGGUGAGUAAUACUUAGGAAUCUGCCCAGUAGUGGGGGAUAGCUCGGGGAAACUCGAAUUAAUACCGCAUACACCCUACGGGGAAAAGGGGGCGCUUGCGCUCUCGCUAUUGGAUGAGCCUAAGUCGGAUUAGCUAGUUGGUGGGGUAAAGGCCUACCAAGGCGACGAUCUGUAGCUGGUCUGAGAGGAUGAUCCAGCCGGGACUGAGACACGGCCCGGACUCUCUACGGGAGGGCAGCAGUGGGAUUUGGAUGGGGGCACCCUGAUCCAGCCAUGCCGCGUGUGUGAGAAGGCCUUUUGGUUGUAAAGCACUUUAAGCAGUGAAGAAGACUCUAUGGUUAAUACCCAUAGACGAUGACAUUAGCUGCAGAAUAAGCACCGGCUAACUCUGUGCCAGCAGCCGCGGUAAUACAGAGGGUGCAAGCGUUAAUCGGAAUUACUGGGCGUAAAGCGAGCGUAGGUGGCUUAAUAAGUCAGAUGUGAAAUCCCCGGGCUUAACCUGGGAACUGCAUCUGAUACUGUUAGGCUAGAGUAGGUGAAAGAGGGAGGUAGGAAUUUCAAGGUUGUAGCGGGUGAAAUGCGUAGAGAUCUGAAGGAAUACCGAUGGCGAAGGCAGCCUCCUGGCAUCAUACUGACACUGAGGUUCGAAAGCGUGGGUAGCAAACAGGAUUAGAUACCCUGAUAGUCACGCGUAAAACGAUGUCUACUAGUCGUUGGGGAACUUGAUUCCUUAGUGACGCAGCUAACGCAAUAAGUAGACCGCCUGGGGAGUACGGCCGCAAGGUUAAAACUCAAAUGAAUUGACGGGGGCCCGCACAAGCGGUGGAGCAUGUGGUUUAAUUCGAUGCAACGCGAAGAACCUUACCUGGUCUUGACAUAUCUAGAAUCCUGCAGAGAUGCGGGAGUGCCUUCGGGAAUUAGAAUACAGGUGCUGCAUGGCUGUCGUCAGCUCGUGUCGUGAGAUGUUGGGUUAAGUCCCGCAACGAGCGCAACCCUUUUCCUUAGUUACCAGCGGUUAGGCCGGGGACUCUAAGGAUACUGCCAGUGACAAACUGGAGGAAGGCGGGGACGACGUCAAGUCAUCAUGGCCCUUACGACCAGGGCUACACACGUGCUACAAUGGUAGGUACAGAGGGCUGCUACACAGCGAUGUGAUGCGAAUCUCAAAAAGCCUAUCGUAGUCCAGAUUGGAGUCUGCAACUCGACUCCAUGAAGUC